CAAAAGUACUUACACAUAUGUUAUUUAUUAAGAACUCACAACAAUAUUGCACAAAACGUAGUACCCCCUUUUUCAGAUGAAGGAAAGAAGGCCAGAAAAGUUGCAGGUCCUAUAAGUAGUAAGAGACAGGGUCCUUCCUGGAACACGUCCCAACUCCAGCCCCAACCCCCAGCACCAAGCUCAGUUCAUUUUAUACGUCCACUGUACUGUCCCCAAGCCAAGUUGAUUCUCCUCUGCAAACUAGAGAUGACCUCCUGUAGCAUCUAGAUGACUAUGUCCAGCUAGCUCUGGAGGUGGCAGGAGAGAAGCCCAGGAAGGAGAAGGACAGUGCAUCCCCAGCUUGUGCCAAGGGAAGCAGGAGGAGCAGAAAUUCUUGGCAGCCCCUGACCACUGUGCUUAUACAGUGAGCAGCACUUUGGGCCAGGGACCCGGCUCACCGUACUAGGACCCUAGUCUGGGAAGGCGGGUUUGUGCCUGGGUCCCCAGAGCUGUGCAAACACAGGACAGCUGUACUUUGGGGCCGGUUCCAAGCUGACGGUUCUGGCCAGAGAGCCCCCUGAGGGGUGUCUACAGCACCCAUUCCUGCCCGGACUGGACUGGACCCUCAGCCACUGGGAUGCAUCCCCAUCCCCAUAUCUCCCUCUGCCCCCCAGCCUGAAAUCUGGGACCUCACACUAAGUAUUUCAGCCUCAACAGCUCAGUGGUGGAGGAGGUUCAGUUGUUGCAAACAUAUAUUAAAAUGCAGAUAUUUUGUUUGUGAGGUGAGGAAAAUUCCCAGGAUGAUCCUAAGCUCCUAGAUUUGGAAAGGAGCCUCAAACAUCACCUGGUGACAAGAAUGUUGAGGCCAGAGAGGGGAAGAAACUCAUGAUACUGGUACAUUAGCCUGGAUUCUUUGACAACAACAAGCCCCAUUUGUUGUUAGAGUGUCAUUACGCUGGAUCCGAUGGGGCUCAGCUAGACUUUGUCCAGAGGAAAUGCCAGAUUCCUGUGAUGAGCAGGGUUGGGGAAAAGACCAGACUUUAGAGCCAGAUAAACCUGAUCCCAAUCCCUGGAUUGCUGAUGAUCAGAUGACCUUGGGCAAAUGAAUCUGUGGGAAGUUCAGUCCCCUCCACUACACAAGGUCAUCAGCAAUACCCACCACUUACCAUUGCUGUAAGUGUGACUAACAGGAGACCCUACAUGUACAGUAUCCAGGGAAGGUGUAUUGUUACAUUCAGCCCUUCUCUUCUCCACCCUUCCCCUAGGUGGUCACUGGGGAGUGAGGGGAGAG